CCUACGUGAGGCACCAGUGGGGAAUAUUGGACAAUGGGGGGAACCCUGAUCCAGCGACGCCGCGUGAGUGAAGAAGUAUUUCGUUAUGUAAAGCUCUAUCAGCAGGGCAGACAAUGACGGUACCUGACUAAGAAGCCCCGGCUAACUACGUGCCAGCAGCCGCGGUAAUACGUAGGGGGCAAGCGUUAUCCGGAGUUACUGGGUGUAAAGGGAGCGUAGACGGUGCAGCAAGUCUGAUGUGAAAGGUCGGGGCCCAACCCCGGGACUGCAUUGGACACGGGUGAACUGGAGUACAGGAGAGGUAAGCGGAAUUGCUAGUGUAGCGGUGAAAGGCGGAGAUAGUAGGAGGAACACCAGUGGCGAAGGCGGCUUACUGGACUGUAACUGACGUUGAGGCUCGAAAGCGUGGGGAGCAAACAGGAUGAGAUACCCGGGUAGUC
rnacentral:rRNA from 1 species